rnacentral:lncRNA from 1 species
AUGCUAUUUGUUCUAGGAACAUGUGAAAGUGAGAGAACAUCUCUCUGGUAAAUAAACCUUACUUUGCCCAUCCCUUUUGGCAGUGGGAUGAAAUGCAGACUGAUUGUCAGCAGGAAUGCCUUUCAGGACAUACAAUAGGUCAUUGGAAACCUACUGAGUACUUUAACAAGUGUGUCAACUGGCAUCAAGUGGUCAAGCUCUUAGCCAAAGAUGUGGAGCUAAAUUCAGCCCUGAUGUAAAACAGCACAGUUUUUCUAAGGCUUUUACUGUGUUCUGCUUUGAUCCUGGAAGUCUCACUUUUAAAAGAUUACUUGGUGCUCUUUUCAGAAACAGAAAACUUGCAGAACCAAAACAAAACCUCUGAAGAUAUUGAGAACCCCUGCAAACAAAGUCUGGAAACCAAGCAACAUCCACCAGUUGGGCGAGACAGAGAAUCCUGUAGCAAUAGCAGUUGUAGAGCAAUUAUGUUUCAGCUCUUUCCCCAAACUCAUUUGGACAGGGUGCCUGUGAGCAGCACUGAACAUAAAAAAAGGAAGCAGCCCAAGUGUAAGUUUCCUUUGCCUUAUGCCCCAUAUUAUUCCUUAUUUGUUGUGCUAAUUCAGCAGCGUAAUUCCCAAAUACAGCCUCCUUGAAUUGUUUUGAUGAGAACUGCUAACUCAGUG